rnacentral:misc_RNA from 1 species
CCGAGUGAAGGGCCCCCGGGUCCGAUCUCCCACCCUUUGUGAUUACACCUCUGUUGCCUCGGGGGUGACCCGCGCGCUGUCGGCGCCGGGGCCCCCGGUGGACCAACCCACAACACUGCAUCUUUGCGUCGGAUAUCAAUGAAAAUGAAUAA